AGAGUUUGAUCCUGGCUCAGGAUGAACGCUGGCGGCGUGCCUAACACAUGCAAGUCGAGCGAUUCUCUUCGGAGAAGAGCGGCGGACGGGUGAGUAACGCGUGGGUAACCUGCCCUGUACACAUGGAUAACAUACCGAAAGGUAUGCUAAUACGGGAUAAUGUACUUUUGUCGCAUGGCAGAAGUAUCAAAGCUCCGGCGGUACAGGAUGGACCCGCGUCUGAUUAGCUAGUUGGAGAGGUAAUGGCUCACCAAGGCAACGAUCAGUAGCCGACCUGAGAGGGUGAUCGGCCACAUUGGAACUGAGACACGGUCCAAACUCCUACGGGAGGCAGCAGUGGGGAAUAUUGCACAAUGGGCGAAAGCCUGAUGCAGCAACGCCGCGUGAGCGAUGAAGGCCUUCGGGUCGUAAAGCUCUGUCCUCAAGGAAGAUAAUGACGGUACUUGAGGAGGAAGCCCCGGCUAACUACGUGCCAGCAGCCGCGGUAAUACGUAGGGGGCUAGCGUUAUCCGGAAUUACUGGGCGUAAAGGGUGCGUAGGUGGUUUCUUAAGUCAGAAGUGAAAGGCUACGGCUCAACCGUAGUAAGCUUUUGAAACUGAGAAACUUGAGUGCAGGAGAGGAGAGUAGAAUUCCUAGUGUAGCGGUGAAAUGCGUAGAUAUUAGGAGGAAUACCAGUUGCGAAGGCGGCUCUCUGGACUGUAACUGACACUGAGGCACGAAAGCGUGGGCAGCAAACAGGAUUAGAUACCCUGGUAGUCCACGCCGUAAACGAUGAGUACUAGGUGUCGGGGGUUACCCCCCUCGGUGCCGCAGCUAACGCAUUAAGUACUCCGCCUGGGAAGUACGCUCGCAAGAGUGAAACUCAAAGGAAUUGACGG
rnacentral:rRNA from 1 species